rnacentral:rRNA from 1 species
CCUACGGGAGGCAGCAGUGGGGAAUUUUGGACAAUGGGCGCAAGCCUGAUCCAGCCAUGCCGCGUGCGGGAAGAAGGCCUUCGGGUUGUAAACCGCUUUUGUCAGGGAAGAAAAGGUUCUGGUUAAUACCUGGGACUCAUGACGGUACCUGAAGAAUAAGCACCGGCUAACUACGUGCCAGCAGCCGCGGUAAUACGUAGGGUGCAAGCGUUAAUCGGAAUUACUGGGCGUAAAGCGUGCGCAGGCGGUUAUGCAAGACAGAGGUGAAAUCCCCGGGCUCAACCUGGGAACUGCCUUUGUGACUGCAUAGCUAGAGUGCGGCAGAGGGGGAUGGAAUUCCGCGUGUAGCAGUGAAAUGCGUAGAUAUGCGGAGGAACACCGAUGGCGAAGGCAAUCCCCUGGGCCUGCACUGACGCUCAUGCACGAAAGCGUGGGGAGCAAACAGGAUUAGAUACCCUGGUAGUCCACGCCCUAAACGAUGUCAACUGGUUGUUGGGAGGGUUUCUUCUCAGUAACGUAGCUAACGCGUGAAGUUGACCGCCUGGGGAGUACGGCCGCAAGGUUGAAACUCGAAAGGAAUUGACGGCGNGAGAGNGACGAGACGACGACGAGGGAGGAGG